CGCAGGAAAUGCCUAAAUGCUUUAUAUUGUGCUCCCAUGCAGUGGAGCAUUUAUCACCUAAACACUACAAAUUGCUCCUUACGUCCAUCUACUUUCGGCUUUUGGCCGGAUAACAGACCACUAGGGGCGCCAGAACUGCUUCGGCUAUUGAAAUCGAAUUCAUUCAUUCUAUUGUGUAGCUCUAAUCGCUGCUAAUGCUUGUGAAUGAGGUAUUUUUAGCAUGUUUAGAAGUCGCUCAUGUGGAAUAAGCAUUUAAGAUAUGCUAAAGAUUUUGUCUUGCUUUUGCAACUAUAAAGAAAGGGUUUUGAAAAGGAGGUACAUCUCGUCGAGCGAAAGGUCAGUAAUGUUACAUUAUACGAACCGAUUUCAAUUCGAGAAUUUUCUAUUCAAAUGAGCAUUUGUUUGUACAAGUUUUUAAAUGUAUACAUGGUUUGAUCGCUCGAGUAAUUUUGUUUAUAAAAGCAAGUUUAUAAAUAUUAGUAUACCCAGUGUAUAUAUCUAGCCAUUUUUGUAAACGUACACGCUAUGAUUCGCGCAUAUACUCCGAAAAAACAGGAAUGUUAACUCAAAGUGGUAUGUUUUUUACUCAAGCUUUUUGCAAUGUACGAAUUUUUGGUUUAAAUCGUGUUUACAUUCUGGUUAAAUAGAUGUUAAAUCGCUGGUAUAUACGAUCGAAUAGUUGGCUGUCUCCGUUUGUAAAAUUGGAAUGCUUUUGAGCUGCAGUAUUUUAAACGAAACUGACAAAACGUUAUUAAUGUAUUAUAUUUCGUACGAAUUUAAGUGAUACAUUAAACACAAGGUAUCAGCUUGUCUAUACAGUAACAUUUUAUAGUUAUUAUUUGCGUCAUAUUAGCAAUGUGCUGAUGACGACGUUGUACGUGUUAAUUUUGCAACAUUAUAAUUACCGCCAUCCAGGGUAAUAUCAAUAAUAACAUGCUCUUUUGUAGAACGAAAUUGCGAUACAAAAGUACUGAGUGGAUGGUCUAUGUUGAAGUUGCUUUCAUCGGAGCGAAAAUUGAGCUGAAUUAACGUG